AUGAAGAUUUUGGAGGAAGUGUUCUUCUAUUAUUAUUAUUAUGAAGGGAAAAUUGAAAUUUGGUUGCCAAGGAGUGUUUCUUUAGCAAGUCAAAUCCCAAACGACCACCAUACUAAUUCACGGGUAAAUAAUCCGCUUAAGAUGCCAAUGAAAACGGGCCUAACUUGACAGCCCAUUACUAUUAAAGCCCAUCUCUUGGUUUCGAUUGUCUAGCCCAAAUCAUCAAUCAAUUGGACUGGGCUUGUAUCCAGCUUAACAUACCCAUAUUCAAAUACAAGCCAUCUCUACUCCACUUGUCGCGGUUGCUAGAGCCUCUUGCAUGCAAUUGCUACGUGUUCAAGAACUAAACCUUCAUGUCAAACGUGGCAACCAUUGUUACAUAUGUCUUGGGGGAUAAAUUUUGAAAGAGAAUUGAAGCUGGGGGAGGAAACCGCAGUCACCCACAAGAUGAGUCCUGAAGAAGUGAGAAGAACAGGUGCAGAAGGAUCCAAGAGG
rnacentral:lncRNA from 1 species